CCCUGAGUGAAUCACAAUUUGCUGCAGUGCCACAGUCAACUCCAAAGAAGACUCUACAAAGAGGUAGUGAAUCCGCAUCAAUCCAGUCUGGUCUGUCCUCCUGCUUGACCCUACUUCUCUCUAGUCCAGAGCCAUCAUCUGUAAGACCUCUCACAAAGCCUUCACUAACUGGGACAUAUAUAGCACGACUUCCUUCAUGGGAACAAUCAGUGGACCAGGGUGCCACUGCACCAUCUUUGGCUGUCCCCCUAUCCAGCCCGUGGUGAUGUGUCACAAGAACCACCCAUACCACCAUCUUGGACUGGGCUGAGCUUCUUCAUAACCCAAUUCCAAAGAAAACUCAAUAAUAUUAAAUGCAAUAUGUCAACAUUUCAAGAUGAUGCCACAAAAGAGAUCAUUCAUUUCAA